rnacentral:rRNA from 1 species
AUGGCGGGUGUGAGCUCCCUGAAGCGUGGUCAUAUUUGGCGAGUGGGAAACGGGCAGAAUAUUGACAUUUGGGAGGACGCAUGGAUUCCAAAUUGUGCAAAACGUAAAAUUGUUACCCCUAAGGGAGACCAGUUGUUACGGAAGGUAGCAGAUUUGAUUGAUCCAAUCCUAAAUAGUUGGGAUGAAGAUCUUCUCACACAGACUCUAUGGCCUAUUGAUGUUCAGCGAGUGCUUACGAUCCCGAUAUCGCAACAUGAUAUGCCAGAUUUCAUAGCUUGGAAUUUCACAAAAAAUGGGACUUUUUCAGUUCGGUCUUCUUAUUUUGUGGAAUGGGACCACCAAUAUGGGAACAAGUUACGACAUACCAAUGGGAUGGGACGUACCACGGUCAAUCCUAUUUGGGCGAGGAUUUGGAAGCUUGCUUGUCCAGCAAAGGUUAAAAUAUUUAUUUGGCGUACACUUCACAACACUAUUCCGUGUCGUGUUAACUUAGCUAAUAGACAUGUGAAAGUCUCGCCUAAGUGUCCUGCCUGCUCAUCUGGGCCAAAAGACACAAAACACUUGUUGUUUCUAUGUGACAGAGCAAAAGAAGUCUGGAGAAGACUAGGGAUGGACGAUAUUAUCGACAGAGCUUGUAAAAUAGACUAUGCGGGUGAGGCAAUCUUGGAAUAUUUAUUUUCAUUAUCAGAUCAGGAACUAUGUAUUAUGGGCACUCGUAAUGUGCGUGACAUGAUUGCCAUAUCAGCAUAUCCAUGGGGAUACGCGCUCUCGCUGCCAAUUUUGUUAAUGCCUCCUCGCCGAAGGCUUCCAUUAAAAGAGGAGGAUGGUCUAAUUCCCCGACGGGAUUUGUUAAACUUAAUGUUGAUGCUUCUUUUGAUCACGACCUUCUCAGGGGUACGAUAG